rnacentral:rRNA from 13 species
UCUAAACGACUCUCGGCAACGGAUAUCUCGGCUCUCGCAUCGAUGAAGAACGUAGCGAAAUGCGAUACUUGGUGUGAAUUGCAGAAUCCCGUGAACCAUCGAAUCUUUGAACGCAAGUUGCGCCCGACGCCUUCGGGCUGAGGGCACGCCUGCCUGGGCGUCA